UACAGUAAUGAAUGCACUACUGGAAGACCUGAAAGGCCAGGCUAUGGGCAGAGUGUAAUGGAGAAUUGCAUGACAGCAUGUAGACAACAACUUGAUGGUUCAUAAUUAAUCAAUCUGUCUGGAUGGAAUCAAAGUAAAGCAGUCAAACACUAACCAGACUUUCUCUACGAAAAGCUUUUCUGCAGCAACACAUUUGUAAAUUCCAAUAGAAAUCGUCUCCAGAAGGUUGUAGAAAACCCCACUUCCAUUGGCACAGGCCGCGCAAGACUGUGAAGACAGGGAAUAGAUGAUCAAAGUCACGAUUAGAAUUUUGGAACGAAGAAUUCUAUGUACAACUGAGUUCGGUGAUUAAGG